GUGGGCGAAAAAUAUUAGCAAGAUUGCUCGACCUUCUACAAUGCCUUCCCUCAUGCCCCUUGCAGUCCUAGCCAAGGCUGGUCCUCCUGUCUCACUUUUGGGACUGGCUACCUUCUGGUGGUGGCGCCAUGUUCGUCAAACGGCGAAGCCUCUCCUCAGCUAAGCGAACAGCUCUAGUGGAGCUUCUAAAGNNUGAGUUAUCUCUUGUCCUAGAUCACUUAGCUCCGUUGUUAGGUCACUAAUCUCCAUGCCCG
rnacentral:misc_RNA from 1 species